rnacentral:rRNA from 1 species
AUUGAACGCUGGCGGAAUGCUUUACACAUGCAAGUCGAACGGCAGCACGGACUUCGGUCUGGUGGCGAGUGGCGAACGGGUGAGUAAUGUAUCGGAACGUGCCAGUCGUGGGGGAUAACGUAGUGAAAAUUACGCUAAUACCGCAUACGAUCUAUGGAUGAAAGCGGGGGAUGGCAAGACCUCGCGCGAUUGGAGCGGGCGAUAUCAGAUUGGGUAGUUGGUGGGGUAAAGGACCACCAAGCCAACGAUCUGUAACUGGUCUGCGAUGACGACCAGCCACACUGGAACUGGGACACGGUCCAGACUCCUACGGGAGGCAGAAGUGGAGAAUUUUGGACAAUGGGCGAAAGCCUGAUCCAGCCAUUCCGCGUGCAGGAUGAAGGCCCUCGGGUUGUAAACUGCUUUUGUACAGAACGAAAAGGUUUCUACUAAUACUAGGAGCUCAUGACGGUACUGUAAGAAUAAGCACCGGCUAACUACGUGCCAGCAGCCGCAGUAA